AAAGAAGAGUUAGAGUAACCCAAGUGGACAAGCCUGCUCUUGCCCCCUUGCCAUGUGAUGCCCUCUGCCACGUGAGGAUGCAGCAAGAAGGCCUUCACCAAAUGCCAGCACCAUGUGCUUGGACUUCCCAACCUCCAGAACUGAGUAAGACGGUGGACACCACCAGAUGAGAGAGUUGAUGUCGUGGAGAAAGGAGACGGAGUCUCCCUCUGUCGCCCACGCUGGAGUGCAGUGGUGCAAUCUCGGCUAACUGCAACCUCCGCCUCCCAGGUUCAAG